rnacentral:rRNA from 1 species
UAUGUUAAUAGCAUACUCAUUUGACGUUAGCUGCAGAAGAAGCACCGGCUAACUCCGUGCCAGCAGCCGCGGUAAUACGGAGGGUGCGAGCGUUAAUCGGAAUUACUGGGCGUAAAGCGCAUGCAGGUGGUUUGUUAAGUCAGAUGUGAAAGCCCGGGGCUCAACCUCGGAAUUGCAUUUGAAACUGGCAAACUAGAGUACUGUAGAGGGGGGUAGAAUUUCAGGUGUAGCGGUGAAAAUGCGUAGAGAUCUGAAGGAAUACCGGUGGCGAAGGCGGCCCCCUGGACCAGAUAACUGACACUCAGAUGCGAAAGACGUGGGGAGGCAAACAGGAUUAGAUACCCUCGGUAG